CCUACGGGGGGCUGCAGCGGGGAAUAUUGCACAAUGGGCGCAAGCCUGAUGCAGCCAUGCCGCGUGUGUGAAGAAGGCCUUCGGGUUGUAAAGCACUUUCAGCGGGGAGGAAGGCGUUAAGGUUAAUAACCUUGUCGAUUGACGUUACCCGCAGAAGAAGCACCGGCUAACUCCGUGCCAGCAGCCGCGGUAAUACGGAGGGUGCAAGCGUUAAUCGGAAUUACUGGGCGUAAAGCGCACGCAGGCGGUCUGUCAAGUCGGAUGUGAAAUCCCCGGGCUCAACCUGGGAACUGCAUUCGAAACUGGCAGGCUAGAGUCUUGUAGAGGGGGGUAGAAUUCCAGGUGUAGCGGUGAAAUGCGUAGAGAUCUGGAGGAAUACCGGUGGCGAAGGCGGCCCCCUGGACAAAGACUGACGCUCAAGUGCGAAAGCGUGGGGAGCAAACAGGAUUAGAUACCCGAGUAGUC
rnacentral:rRNA from 1 species